rnacentral:rRNA from 1 species
GCAGAGGCCACUGCUAUCGGGGUUUGACUAAGCCAUGCGAGUCGAGAGGUGUAAGACCUCGGCGUACUGCUCAGUAACACGUGGACAAUCUGCCCUGAAGUGGAGGAUAAUCCCGGGAAACUGGGGGUAAUACUCCAUAGUUCGUGCUGACUGGAAUGUUAUGCGAACGAAAGAUCCGUCGCUUCAGGAUGAGUCUGCGGCCGAUUAGGUAGUUGUUGGGGUAACGGCCCAACAAGCCUGUCAUCGGUACGGGUUGUGGGAGCAAGAGCCCGGAGAUGGAUUCUGAGACACGAAUCCAGGCCCUACGGGGCGCAGCAGGCGCGAAAACUUUACCAUGCGGGCAACCGUGAUAAGGAAACCCCGAGUGCCAGCACAGGCUGGCUGUCCGCCAGUGUAAAUAACUGGUGAAGAAAGGGCCGGGCAAGACCGGUGCCAGCCGCCGCGGUAAUACCGGCGGCUCGAGUGGUGGCCACUAUUACUGGGCUUAAAGGGUCCGUAGCUUGAUAUGCAAGUCUCUUGAGAAAUCCGCCAGCUUAACUGGUGGGCGUUCAGGGGAAACUGCAUUUCUAGGGACCGGGAGAGGUGAGAGGUACUGCCGGGGUAGGAGUGAAAUCCUGUAAUCCCGGUGGGACCACCUAUGGCGAAGGCAUCUCACCAGAACGGGUCCGACAGUGAGGGACGAAAGCUGGGGGAGCAAACCGGAUUAGAUACCCGGGUAGUCCCAGCUGUAAACGAUGCGCGUUAGGUGUGUCAGUGACCACGUGUCACUGAGGUGCCGAAGGGAAACCGUGAAACGCGCCGCCUGGGGAGUACGGUCGCAAGGCUGAAACUUAAAGGAAUUGGC